UACGUAGGGGGCUAGCGUUGUCCGGAAUCAUUGGGCGUAAAGGGCGCGUAGGCGGUUUUGUAAGUCGGAUGUGAAAGCCCAGGGCUUAACCUUGGAAGUGCAUCCGAAACUGCAUAACUGGAGUCUCGGAGAGGGUGGUGGAAUUCCCAGUGUAGAGGUGAAAUUCGUAGAUAUUGGGAGGAACACCGGUGGCGAAGGCGACCACCUGGACGAAGACUGACGCUGAGGCGCGAGAGCGUGGGGAGCAAACAGG
rnacentral:rRNA from 1 species